CCUACGGGCGGCUGCAGUGAGGAAUAUUGGUCAAUGGACGAGAGUCUGAACCAGCCAAGUAGCGUGAAGGAGGACUGUCCUAUGGGUUGUAAACUUCUUUUAUCUGGGAAUAAAACGUUCCACGUGUGGGAUUUUGUAUGUACCAUAUGAAUAAGGAUCGGCUAACUCCGUGCCAGCAGCCGCGGUAAUAAGGAGGAUCCGAGCGUUAUCCGGCUUUCUUGGGGUUAAAGGGAGCGUAGGAGGUUGGUUAAGUCAGUGGUGCAAGUUUGCGGCUCAACCGUAAAACUGCAGUUGAAACUGGCAGUCUUGAGUAGAGGAGAGGUAGGCGGAAGGCGUGGUGUAGCGGUGAAAUGCUUAGAUAGCACGAAGAACUCCGAUUGCGAAGGCAGUUCACUGGACUGCAACUGACACUGAGGCUCGAAAGUGUGGGUAUCAAACAGGAUUAGAUACCCCAGUAGUC
rnacentral:rRNA from 1 species